rnacentral:rRNA from 1 species
UGAGGAACAUGACCUUCGGCGGGGAUAGCCGGCCCAACGGCCGGGUAAUACCGCGUACGACCACUUGGGGACAUCCUCGAAUGGUGAAAGCAGCAAUGCGCCGAUGAAGUGCCUCGCGGCCUAUCAGCUAGUUGGUGGGGUAACGGCUCACCAAGGCGACGACGGGUAGCUGGU